CUUCCAUUCAGCAUAAACGCUGAAGCAACACCAAGGAAGGGGAAGAACACAUGCAAACUCACAAACCCUCACCACAAAUUCAAAUCCACAUAACUUUUGAUCCGGAGCUCCGAUCGCCGCACCGUUUACGGUCACGCAAUCGCAGUGAUGAGCUCUACAAAGUCCAUUACCAUUCAAGAUGCAGGUCGAGUGGCUCCUCGGUAGGCGUCUGAAGGUUCUGCAGCGAAGUGGUUUACUUUAAGAUCUCCUUUUGUUAUUUUGAUGUAUAUAUAUGUAUAGUUUCUCCUCUUGUAUGUAAGAAUACUUUGUUUAUGUACCUCUUAGAGGUUUUAUGGAGAACUAGGGUUUUGAACAUGUUCUUUUGGGUUAUUAUUAUGUAUAUAUAUGUACGUAUAUGUUCUCUGGCCAGCCUUGGCUUCGCAGGCUGAGUCAGGAGCUAGUUAUGAUGUAUUCUUGGCCCUCCACUUGUAUCAUCUGUAUAUAUAUGUUAUUGAACUUUAGUUUUCUUCUCACGCAA